rnacentral:rRNA from 1 species
CAUGCAAGUCGAACGCGAAAGUUCCCUUCGGGGGACAGUAGAGUGGCGCACGGGUGAGUAACACGUAGGUAAUCUACCUUCGGAUGGGGAAUAACAAUCGGAAACGGUUGCUAAUACCGCAUAAUGCAGCGGCACCUAAUGGUGACAGUUGUUAAAGCGGGGGAUCGAAAGACCUCGCGUCUGAAGAGGAGCCUGCGGCGGAUUAGCUAGUUGGUAAGGUAACGGCUUACCAAGGCGACGAUCCGUAGCCGGCCUGAGAGGGCGGUCGGCCACACUGACACUGACAUACGGGUCAGACUCCUACGGGAGGCAGCAGUCGGGAAUUUUGGGCAAUGGGCGAAAGCCUGACCCAGCAACGCCGCGUGAAGGAUGAAAUCCCUCGGGAUGUAAACUUCGCAAGAACGGGAAGAAUAAGUAGGGGACAAUACCCCCUAUGAUGACGGUACCGUUUGUAAGCUCCGGCUAACUCCGUGCCAGCAGCCGCGGUAAUACGGGGGGAGCAAGCGUUGUUCGGAUUUACUGGGCGUAAAGGGCGCGUAGGCGGCCAGCGGCAAGUCAGUUGUGAAAUCUCCGAGCUUAACUCGGAAAAGGUCAAUUGAUACUGCGCGGUUAGAGUGCAAAAGGGGCAACUGGAAUUCUCGGUGUACGGUGAAAUGCGUAGAUCUCCGAGAGGAACACCUGCGGGCGAAGGCGGGUUUGCUGGCUGAACACUGACG